AACGAACGCUGGCGGCAUGCCUAACACAUGCAAGUCGAACGAGACCUUCGGGUCUAGUGGCGCACGGGUGCGUAACGCGUGGGAACCUGCCCUUAGGUUCGGAAUAACUCCCCGAAAGGGGUGCUAAUACCGGAUAAUGUCUUCGGACCAAAGAUUUAUCGCCUUUGGAUGGGCCCGCGUUGGAUUAGCUAGUUGGUAGGGUAAAAGCCUACCAAGGCGACGAUCCAUAGCUGGUCUGAGAGGAUGAUCAGCCACACUGGGACUGAGACACGGCCCAGACCCCUACGGGAGGCAGCAGUGGGGAAUAUUGGACAAUGGGCGAAAGCCUGAUCCAGCAAUGCCGCGUGAGUGAUGAAGGCCUUAGGGUUGUAAAGCUCUUUUACCCGGGAUGAUAAUGGCAGUACCGGGAGAAUAAGCUCCGGCUAACUCCGUG
rnacentral:rRNA from 1 species